GAAGAACGCGGGCGGCGUGCUUAACACAUGCAAGUCGAACGGAAAGGCCCUGCUUUUGUGGGGUGCUCGAGUGGCGAACGGGUGAGUAACACGUGAGUAACCUGCCCUUGACUUUGGGAUAACUUCAGGAAACUGGGGCUAAUACCGGAUAGGAGCUCCUGCUGCAUGGUGGGGGUUGGAAAGUUUCGGCGGUUGGGGAUGGACUCGCGGCUUAUCAGCUUGUUGGUGGGGUAGUGGCUUACCAAGGCUUUGACGGGUAGCCGGCCUGAGAGGGUGACCGGCCACAUUGGGACUGAGAUACGGCCCAGACUCCUACGGGAGGCAGCAGUGGGGAAUAUUGCACAAUGGGCGGAAGCCUGAUGCAGCAACGCCGCGUGCGGGAUGACGGCCUUCGGGUUGUAAACCGCUUUCGCCUGUGACGAAGCGUGAGUGACGGUAAUGGGUAAAGAAGCACCGGCUCCCUACGUC
rnacentral:rRNA from 1 species